rnacentral:lncRNA from 1 species
CCCGGCCCCUAAAAGAGCACAAAUCAGGGUUCCCGAGACCACAGAGAUGAACAGUCAGAGAAAGGCAUCGCUGGCCUCAAGGAGCAUGGGACAGUUCCAUGGGGGAAAGGACAGCUCAGAACCUGAGAACCAGGAAGAACUUUCUCCUUUCUCAGGAAUACCCAUCACUGGAGCUUGUCGCCCCACUAAAGUGCUCUGGGGGUCCUGGGGUGCUUGCCCCUCUCUCCUCCAGCACUUGCCCACUCUGCUCUUCUGGCAGCUGAUGGUGGUUUCAGAAACAGUGAGGCCAGAAUCCCUAAAGCGCGCUCUGCUCACCAACCCCCACCCGCACCCCCUACCUCCAACCUAGAGCACUUGAGAUGACUAACUGCAGCGUGGAUGUCAAGGCAGGCCUGGAGCUCAGGAGGAGGGUACAGAGAGAAACCUGCUUUACCACUGGUGAACUUGACAUCAUGGUCUUGGACACGCACUGUGGAAAGAUGGGCUUGUACAUUCAAAAUGCAGGAAGCAGUGAGCUCCAGGAGAUGGUGAAGCUCCGGGAGUAGUGAAGAACAGGGAAGCCUGGCAUGCUGCAGUCCAUGGGGUCACACAGAGGUGGAAGGACUGAGUGACUGAACAAUAGCAACAAAGCAGUGAGCUCAAGGUCUGACCCAUAGCCCUCGCAUUCUGCUGAUGGGAAUGAGGGAAGACACCCAGAUGCACAGCCUCUGUAGCUGGAGACCAGACAGUGUUUCAUAGCAUCCUUCAUGACGGAGACCUUGAGGGUGGUUAUGUCCAAGGGCUGGUGAGUUGUCCGAGGAUGAGCCUCAAGGCCCAUGGCAGCAAGGAAAGCACUUCCUAUACAGCCUCCAAGUCUUCAGCAUGUUUGCAGGCACUUGGAUGGAGCUGUAGGUGGAAGACUCCUCAAGUUUGCAGACCAUCAAAUCUGAGAAGAGUAGGAAAUGCACUGUGUGAUAAAAGCUAACAGGUUUGCUCAGGCUGGGUGAAUAGGGCCCAUUUCUGAGAUGAGUCUGAAGACGGUUCAGUGUCACACUCUGCUUAUGGGGUCCAAGACAUCACCUGCCUCAGCAUGUGUGGGGAAAAAAAAAACACGGAAGGAUCUGGGGUAUUCAGCAUAUUGCCAAUCAACUGUGUGGUUAAUCUGAACAAAACAGAGAUGUGAUCUUCAGCUACAUUGAAGAAGUUCUUGUUUUCCAAGAUUUCUUUGUCCUGUGAAUCCCAUUAAGGGAUUUCUUUUGGGUCCACUGACCACUCAAAUCAAAAACUUCUGGGGCUUGUUAAAAAUUCAGAUUUGGGGGCCCACCUAGGUUAUUCAUUCAGGCUGUAUAGGGAGGAAGCCCCAGAAGAUG